AUGCAGAUGACGAGUCCCAAAUAGGACGAAAUUCACGUCCUGGAU
rnacentral:hammerhead_ribozyme from 1 species